CGCUGGCGGCGUGCUUAACACAUGCAAGUCGAACGGAGUUUUUAAACGGAAGUUUUCGGAUGGAAGUUUAGAACUUAGUGGCGGACGGGUGAGUAACGCGUGGGUAACCUGCCUCAUACAGGGGGAUAACAUUUAGAAAUGACUGCUAACACCGCAUAAUAUAGCGAAACCGCAUGAUUUUUGCUAUCAAAUAUUUUAUAGGUAUGAGAUGGGCCCGCGUCUGAUUAGCUAGUUGGUGGGGUAAAAGCCUACCAAGGCGACGAUCAGUAGCCGGCUUGAGAGAGUGACCGGCCACAUUGGGACUGAGACACGGCCCAAACUCCUACGGGAGGCAGCAGUGGGGAAUAUUGGACAGUGGGGGAAACCCUGAUCCAGCGAACCGCCGCGUGAGUGAAGAAGUAUUUCGGUAUGUAAAGCUCUAUCAGCAGGGAAGAUAAUGACAGUACCUGACUAAGAAGCCCCGGCUAACUACGUGCCAGCAGCCGC
rnacentral:rRNA from 1 species